rnacentral:rRNA from 1 species
UAGGGAAUCUUCGGCAAUGGACGAAAGUCUGACCGAGCAACGCCGCGUGAGUGAAGAAGGUUUUCGGAUCGUAAAACUCUGUUGUUAGAGAAGAACAAGGACGUUAGUAACUGAACGUCCCCUGACGGUAUCUAACCAGAAAGCCACGGCUAACUACGUGCCAGCAGCCGCGGUAAUACGUAGGUGGCAAGCGUUGUCCGGAUUUAUUGGGCGUAAAGCGAGCGCAGGCGGUUUCUUAAGUCUGAUGUGAAAGCCCCCGGCUCAACCGGGGAGGGUCAUUGGAAGCUGGGAGACUUGAGUGCAGAAGAGGAGAGUGGAAUUCCAUGUGUAGCGGUGAAAUGCGUAGAUAUAUGGAGGAACACCAGUGGCGAAGGCGGCUCUCUGGUCUGUAACUGACGCUGAGGCUCGAAAGCGUGUGGAGCAAACAGG